GAUGAAUGCUGGUGGCGUGCCUAACACAUGCAAGUCGAGCGGCAGCGAGGGGUGCUUGCACCCUGUCGGCGAGCGGCGAACGGCUGAGUAACGCGUAGGAAUUUGCCCCAAAGUGAGGAAUAACUGCCCGAAAGGGUAGCUAAUGCCGCAUAUGGUCUUCGGAUUAAAGGAUUUAUCCGCUUUGGGAGAAGCCUGCGUUGGAUUAGGUUGUUGGUAGGGUAAUGGCCUACCAAGCCGACGAUCCAUAGCUGGUCUGAGAGGAUGAUCAGCCAGACUGGAACUGAGACACGGUCCAGACUCCUACGGGAGGCAGCAGUGAGGAAUCUUCCACAAUGGGCGAAAGCCUGAUGGAGCAACGCCGCGUGAAGGAUGAAGGCCUUCGGGUUGUAAACUUCUUUUAUGAGUGAAGAAUAUGACGGUAACUCAUGAAUAAGCACCGGCUAACUACGUG
rnacentral:rRNA from 1 species